GACGUAGGAGGCGAGCGUUGUCCGGAUUCAUUGGGCGUAAAGAGCACGCAGGCGGUUUGGCAAGUCGGAUGUGAAACCCGAAGCUCAACUUCGGGCCUGCAUCCGAAACUGCCCGACUAGAGGUAGGUAGGGGAGAUCGGAAUUCCUGGUGUAGCGGUGAAAUGCGCAGAUAUCAGGAGGAACACCGGUGGCGAAGGCGGCUCUCUGGGACGGUACUGACGCUGAGAUGCGAAAGCGUGGGGAGCGAACAGGAUUAGAUACCCGUGGUAA
rnacentral:rRNA from 1 species